AAAAGCAAGACAAUAUCGAGGUUGAUGCGGCUGAUGCAAUGGUGGCGAGGUGGGUUGUUUUCAGAAUAGAAACACACAGCAUGCUCUGUUUACCUCCUAGUCCUACCAGCGAGAUCCAGCCCCCCCUCCUUGAUCCUAGCUAAUCCUCUGAGCUAAUCUCCCCAAUCAUGAGUGAGAGCCAAGAGGGAAGACAGGAAUAGUCAAGGUUGUUACACCACAAACUCUGCUUUUUACCAUUCAGACCUUUUUUUGUUGUUGUUGUUGUUGAUGGGAGGAGAAGUGUCAGUGUUCUAAACCACAAGUAGUCCCAAAGGCAGGAGAUCCUUGGGGUUGGGGUAAGGACCAUGUGCACCACUAUGGCGGUCCUCACCACCAUCGCUCUCAUCCUGCGACACAGAUUCUGCAACAAAAUCAAGCCGCAGAAAGAGGCUGAUGAGAAAGACGUGCCAUACAUGAAGAGCAAUGGAACAGCAGAAACCCAAAAAUGACAACUGUGAACGUCUCAGGACAUGACCGAAGACCAGAGUUGGCCAUCAUCUCAAGUUGGGUUUGCAUCAACCUCUUCUAUCAAGAUUCAUUUCUCCAGGUGUACAGAAUACAUUUCCUGUUACCUUUUUAUUUUCUCUCAUUAAUCAGAUUCAGAUUUAUCUCCACUUACACUUAGACUCCCACCAGGGAAAAAAAACAACAAAAUACUAGAAAAACAAUACAGCUUGUUUUGAUCAUGGCUUCCUCUAUCUGUCCUGCAGAUACUCUCAUUUCUGAGCCAGGAAACAGCAUCUGAGUGAAUUCCAAGAUGAAGCCUGACGAAUGUUGUGUAUUCAUCAUGAAAACUGUAUUUAUACUAUUGUUUUAGAACAGAUGUGCUCAGGAUUUCAAGUCAUAAAACAUUUUCUGUGCCUCCACAUGAAAAAUAGCCACAGUCAUUUAUUUUCUUUUUUGUUUUUUCUUGCUUUUUAAAAGUUGUAAUGAUUUGUGUCGAAUGUGUGCAUGGUGUGUGCAUGUAUCUCGAAGAGUAGCCUCUCCUAAGAGCUCAUAAGUGACCUCAUUUUUACUGAAAUAUGGGCUGAAGAUAUGCAUUUUGUGGACUAUACCAUAUUUGCUUGCAUAAAGUUACAGUCGUCAUCCUGUGCUGUUACUGAUGUCUUUUGUAAAUCUUCCAAAUUUCCAAAUGACAUUAAAGUAAACCACGCCACACAAUGGAGUUAAGGUGUCAGAUAAAACAACAGCAAUAGACACCAAACUUUGAGCAGUGUGCUCGCUGUGCUUAUUAUUGUAGUGAUUAAGAGUGCAGCAUC